UCGCCCUUAGAGUUUGAUCCUGGCUCAGGAUGAACGCUAGCUACAGGCUUAACACAUGCAAGUCGAGGGGCAGCGGGAUUGAAGCUUGCUUCAAUUGCCGGCGACCGGCGCACGGGUGAGUAACGCGUAUCCAACCUUCCGUACACUCAGGGAUAGCCUUUCGAAAGAAAGAUUAAUACCUGAUGGUAUGAUGAGAUUGCAUGAUAGCAUCAUUAAAGAUUUAUCGGUGUACGAUGGGGAUGCGUUCCAUUAGGUAGUAGGCGGGGUAACGGCCCACCUAGCCAACGAUGGAUAGGGGUUCUGAGAGGAAGGUCCCCCACAUUGGAACUGAGACACGGUCCAAACUCCUACGGGAGGCAGCAGUGAGGAAUAUUGGUCAAUGGACGAGAGUCUGAACCAGCCUAGUAGCGUGAAGGAUGAAGGUCCUACGGAUUGUAAACUUCUUUUAUAAGGGAAUAAACCCUCCCACGUGUGGGAGCUUGUAUGUACCUUAUGAAUAAGCAUCGGCUAACUCCGUGCCAGCAGCCGCGGUAAUACGGAGGAUGCGAGCGUUAUCCGGAUUUAUUGGGUUUAAAGGGGGCGCAGACGGGUCGUUAAGUCAGCUGUGAAAGUUUGGGGCUCAACCUUAAAAUUGCAGUUGAUACUGGCGUCCUUGAGUGCGGUUGAGGUGUGCGGAAUUCGUGGUGUAGCGGUGAAAUGCUUAGAUAUCACGAAGAACUCCGAUUGCGAAGGCAGCACACUAAUCCGUAACUGACGUUCAUGCUCGAAAGUGUGGGUAUCAAACAGGAUUAGAUACCCUGGUAGUCCACACGGUAAACGAUGGAUACUCGCUGUUGGCGAUAUACUGUCAGCGGCUUAGCGAAAGCGUUAAGUAUCCCACCUGGGGAGUACGCCGGCAACGGUGAAACUCAAAUGAAUUGACG
rnacentral:rRNA from 1 species